CAGUCGAGCGAAUGGAUUGAGAGCUUGCUCUCAAGAAGUUAGCGGCGGACGGGUGAGUAACACGUGGGUAACCUGCCCAUAAGACUGGGAUAACUCCGGGAAACCGGGGCUAAUACCGGAUAACAUUUUGAACUGCAUGGUUCGAAAUUGAAAGGCGGCUUCGGCUGUCACUUAUGGAUGGACCCGCGUCGCAUUAGCUAGUUGGUGAGGUAACGGCUCACCAAGGCAACGAUGCGUAGCCGACCUGAGAGGGUGAUCGGCCACACUGGGACUGAGACACGGCCCAGACUCCUACGGGAGGCAGCAGUAGGGAAUCUUCCGCAAUGGACGAAAGUCUGACGGAGCAACGCCGCGUGAGUGAUGAAGGCUUUCGGGUCGUAAAACUCUGUUGUUAGGGAAGAACAAGUGCUAGUUGAAUAAGCUGGCACCUUGACGGUACCUAACCAGAAAGCCACGGCUAACUACGUGCCAGCAGCCGCGGUAAUACGUAGGUGGCAAGCGUUAUCCGGAAUUAUUGGGCGUAAAGCGCGCGCAGGUGGUUUCUUAAGUCUGAUGUGAAAGCCCACGGCUCAACCGUGGAGGGUCAUUGGAAACUGGGAGACUUGAGUGCAGAAGAGGAAAGUGGAAUUCCAUGUGUAGCGGUGAAAUGCGUAGAGAUAUGGAGGAACACCAGUGGCGAAGGCGACUUUCUGGUCUGUAACUGACACUGAGGCGCGAAAGCGUGGGGAGCAAA
rnacentral:rRNA from 1 species